rnacentral:rRNA from 1 species
AGCAGUAGCCGCGGUAAUACGAAGGGGGCUAGCGUUGCUCGGAAUGACUGGGCGUAAAGGGCGCGUAGGCGGAUUGUUUAGUUAGGCGUGAAAUUCCUGGGCUUAACCUGGGGACUGCGCUUAAUACAGGCAGUCUAGAGUGAGGAAGAGGGUUGUGGAAUUCCCAGUGUAGAGGUGAAAUUCGUAGAUAUUGGGAAGAACACCGGUGGCGAAGGCGGCAACCUGGUCCUUGAUUGACGCUGAGGCGCGAAAGCGUGGGGAGCAAACAGGAUUAGAUACCCGAGUAGUCCCUGUCUCUUAUAC